rnacentral:rRNA from 1 species
UUAAAUUGAGAGUUUGAUCCUGGCUCAGGAUGAACGCUGGCGGCGUGCCUAAUACAUGCAAGUCGAACGAAACUUCUUUAUCACCGAGUGCUUGCACUCACCGAUAAAGAGUUGAGUGGCGAACGGGUGAGUAACACGUGGGCAACCUGCCCAAAAGAGGGGGAUAACACUUGGAAACAGGUGCUAAUACCGCAUAACCAUAGUUACCGCAUGGUAACUAUGUAAAAGGUGGCUAUACUACCGCUUUUGGAUGGGCCCGCGGCGCAUUAGCUAGUUGGUAGGGUAAAGGCUUACCAAGGCAAUGAUGCGUAGCCGAAUUGAGAGGUUGAUCGGCCACAUUGGGACUGAGACACGGCCCAAACUCCUACGGGAGGCAGCAGUAGGGAAUCUUCCACAAUGGGCGAAAGCCUGAUGGAGCAACGCCGCGUGGGUGAAGAAGGUCUUCGGAUCGUAAAACCCUGUUGUUAGAGAAGAAAGUGCGUGAGAGUAACUGUUCACGUUUCGACGGUAUCUAACCAGAAAGCCACGGCUAACUACG